rnacentral:lncRNA from 1 species
GGCAUGAAUUAUAUCCUUUGCAUGAUUUAGAUUUAAAUUUUUUCAUUAAUCAAGCUUCAUGAAAAAUUUCCUAAACUCGAAAAUGAAUAAAUGUAAUAAAAUAAAAAAUAAAAUAUUUCAAGAUCACUCUCUUAUAAUUUAAAAACAAUUCUCAACAAUCGUCAUAAAUUACCUAUCACCUUACCAAGAGUGUUGGGUGUAAAAUUUGAAUUACUAAAGCUGCCCCAAAUAAAUGUGUAAUAAGAAUGACAUAACAGGUGGGGGGGGGGGGGGGGGGGGUAUUAUAAGUAAGAUUUAAAGAAGUUUUAAAACAGUAAUAUAUAUUCAUAUGUCUUUUUCUCCUCCAUAAUAAUCCCAUUGAAAAUGUUCUAUGAGUACUGGCUUAUUUUUUUUGUGAUAUUUUUUCCGUGUGGUAUAUCCUCAGUCUAUAAAUUGUUUUGUAUUUUGUGACUUCUCUUCAACUUCGACAAAGUUUGGCAUAGGGGCCUUAUAUGGAAAGCUUAUGGUAUUGACGGAAACUUAUUGAAUUGGUUUCAGGAUUAUCUACACGACAGAAAACAGAGAGUAGUAAUGCAUAACAGAAAGAACGAUAGGCCAUUGUGUAAAAUUGAAACGUUUCAUUUGUACGGCCCAAGGAAAUUGAAUAUCAUCUAACGCAAUUGAGAUGUUCCCCUUCAUUCUUAAACAAUGAUCUAUUUAGAGCUAAUAUUAUAAAUUUAUAAAUGAUCCUUCUUGUCAUUGUGGGUCAGAUAUUGAUGAUGUCUACCAUUACUUCUUUAUUUGUCCAAAAUACACAUUAUGUAGAAAAAUCUUAUUCAAUAAUCUCAAC